UGAUACCAGGGUCAAAAGGUCAUGUGUUUCAUGCUUGCAUGAAAAAACAUGACUUUGGGACCCGCAAAACAUGAGAAGGGAGGAAAUUAUGUUUCAUGCCGCAAUAUGUGAAGACGAGCCAGAAAUUUCCA
rnacentral:misc_RNA from 1 species